GAUGAACGCUGGCGGCGUGCCUAAUACAUGCAAGUCGAGCGAACAGACGAGGAGCUUGCUCCUCUGACGUUAGCGGCGGACGGGUGAGUAACACGUGGAUAACCUACCUAUAAGACUGGGAUAACUUCGGGAAACCGGAGCUAAUACCGGAUAACAUGUUGAACCGCAUGGUUCAACAGUGAAAGACGGCCUUGCUGUCACUUAUAGAUGGAUCCGCGCCGCAUUAGCUAGUUGGUAAGGUAACGGCUUACCAAGGCAACGAUGCGUAGCCGACCUGAGAGGGUGAUCGGCCACACUGGAACUGAGACACGGUCCAGACUCCUACGGGAGGCAGCAGUAGGGAAUCUUCCGCAAUGGGCGAAAUCCUGACGGAGCGACGCCGCGUGAGUGAAGAAGGUCUUCGGAUCGUAAAACUCUGUUAUUAGGGAAGAACAAAUGUGUAAGUAACUAUGCACGUCUUGACGGUACCUAAUCAGAAAGCCACGGCUAACUACGUG
rnacentral:rRNA from 1 species